rnacentral:lncRNA from 1 species
UCGCCGCCGCCGUUGUUAUUAAUGUUCAAUUGAUCGGGAGACGGCAGCGACGGAGCGGCCGCUGCACCGCCGCCGGUGGUUUUGAUGAGGUUGAGGGCGUGGAGGGGCUGGGUUUGCCAGAAGGGGAGGAGCUUGCCUUCAGAGAAGAGCUCGUCGGCGGUGAUCAUGCUGGUCUUGAUGUCGCCGGAGAGGAACUCGAAGUCGGCGGCGGUGAUCCUAACGGCGAUGGCUUCUCUCUUCUUGGGGUAGAUGGAGAUGAAGUUGGUGUCGUCGAGGAACUCGGCGGAGAAGUUGGUGAAGUUUGUGAAAUUGAAGGUGUUGGAUGGGGGAGAUGAGCCGAUUGGUGCACAGCCCACGAGAAAAAAAAGUUAAAAAUUUAAGUGGACGGCG